UCUUGGUCAUUUAGAGGAAGUAAAAGUCGUAACAAGGUUUCACCUCAUUCUUCGGAAGCCUUGUGCGCUAACAGUCUGCCCUCGUGCAGGCUACAUUCCCCUGUAGCUGGAAAUUUCUCUCCCCCCGGGUUCAACCAGCUGCUGCCUGGCUUCGGCCGCGUAGCUCACAGAUCAAACGCGAAUGGCCCCCCCGGAACUUCGGCUGUGCGGGUUAAGAUAUGACCGUAGCGGCUCUGCGAAGAGUCUGAUGGACUAGUUCCGUAGGUGAACCUGCGGAAGGAUCAUUA
rnacentral:rRNA from 1 species